rnacentral:tRNA from 1 species
GGCACGCGCCGCAUGCGUGGCCGACGCGCUGCGCGAAUGACGCGCGGCCGCCGCGCCCGCGCGCGGCCCGCGCGUUCAGCGCGCGCCGCCUGCCG